AUGUUCACCUAUAAAUUGUGCUACACAAGUCAAACACCAUCCGAGGAUACUGAAUGUGUUGCAGGCCCGAUGGAGGGGACAAAUGUUGAUGACUCUAACGAAGGGAUUAUACCCGUAGCCGACGAUGUUGACAAAAUUUACCGACGUAGUCCAGGAGUCCAUAUUACUCCCCCGGAACAGAUGAUACUUGAGACCGAUCGUGAUAGCACAUAUGAUACACCAGGCCCGAUGGAGGGGACAAAUGUCGACGACUCUAACGAAGGGGUUAUACAUGUAGUGGAGGAUGUUCACAAGAUUUACCCAAGUAGUCCAGGAGUCCAUAUUACUCCCUUGGAAUGGAUGAUACUUGAACAGACCUAUUGUGAAAGGACAUAUGUUCAUCAACCUUCCCAUCUGAUUACGAAUACGUUGUCGGCUCUCAGUAAUCUGACAAAAGAACUAGCUAGCAUGCAACAUGAUAACGAGGAAAAGAGGCCGCAGAAUGUUCCACGCCAUCCUCUCAGUGAUAUCACUAAUGCUUAUCAACCAUCCUCUAUGGACCUUGAUGAAAAAAAGAGCUGA
rnacentral:rRNA from 1 species